UGACCAGCCUGACCCACAGCAGACACAGUUGUAUGAAGAGGCAGCAGAGGGGUUACACCUGUUAUCAGACCAGCUUCCCCCUCCAGGAAAAGCUCUGUUAGAUGUGAUAUUUCUGGGUUUUGCUGAAGAAGCUCCUAAGCUGAAGGACUUCCUCCCUGUGAUUGGCUCGUUGAAACACAUGCAGACAUGGCACACAGCCAAGAUGACCAU